rnacentral:rRNA from 1 species
ACGGGUGAGUAACGCGUAGGAAUAUACCUUAAGGAGCGGGACAACUUGGGGAAACUCAAGCUAAUACCACAUAAGCUCUAAGGAGGAAAGCUGGGGACCGAAAGGCCUGGCGCCUUAAGAAUAGCCUGCGUCCGAUUAGUUAGUUGGUGGGGUAAAGGCCUACCAAGACGAAGAUCGGUAGCUGGUCUGAGAGGAUGACCAGCCACACUGGGACUGAGACACGGCCCAGACUCCUACGGGAGGCAGCAGUGGGGAAUAUUGGACAAUGGGGGGAACCCUGAUCCAGCGAUGCCGCGUGUGUGAAGAAGGCCUGAGGGUUGUAAAGCACUUUCAGUGGGGAGGAAGGGAUGAAGGGUAAAUAGCCCAUGAUUCUGACGUUACCCACAGAAGAAGCACCGGCUAACUCCGUGCCAGCAGCCGCGGUAAUACGGAGGGUGCGAGCGUUAAUCGGAAUUACUGGGCGUAAAGGGUGCGUAGGUGGUUUAAUUAGUUAGCUGUGAAAUCCCUGGGCUUAACCUAGGAAGGUCAGCUAAGACUGUUAGACUAGAGUAUAGGAGAGGGUAGUGGAAUUUCCGGUGUAGC